rnacentral:lncRNA from 1 species
GCAUAUGUUCAAAUCCUAACUAUGGAUGAACUUCCUCACUGAUAAAAAAAAAUGGGAAGAAUGUGUGUCCUUCAAGUCAUUUAUUUUCCCUGAGCUUUCAUAUGCUCAUCUAUCAAUCAUAACCACACUUAACUUACAGGAUUAUUGUCAAAAUAGCACAUGGUUGAUAUGUGCUAAAUGAUAGUUAUUUACAACUAGGAAUACUUUUAAAUGCUUAUCAUAUGUAAAUAUUUAUAAAUUUAAUAUGGUAUAUGGUUGGAGAAAUAUAAAAUAAGCCAAAUUUCCUUAUGCAUUGAUCAUUUAGUUCACCAAACUAUAACAUGGAUUGGAUGUCUGUAGUUGGUUGGAUUUGUUUUUCUUUCUUUUUUCAGUUUACAAAAAUAUAUAGUGAGCCCUACAUUGACAAUGGAAACAAAUGAGUCCUAUUUUAAACAUUUAAAGAUAAUUUGGGGGGACUGGGGGCAGCUCAGUGGUAGAGCACUUCCAUAGCACAAGGCCCUGGGUUUCAUCCCCAGCACAACAAAACAUUAAAACAAAAAAUAAACAUUUAAAUUAAUUUUAAAACAUUCACACUAUUAUAAGCACAAUAUGAUCCACAAUUAGUGUAAGCCUGCAAAUGUUAAUUCUCCUUGAGGGUAGCUUAAUUGAAGAACAGUAACUACAACAAAGAAUGAUACCCAUUUGUUCUCAGAUGCCACCAUUCUAAGCAUAUAAGUAACCUACAGAGUGUUCAGAAGCAGC